AUACGGAGGAUCCGAGCGUUAUCCGGAUUUAUUGGGUUUAAAGGGUGCGCAGGCGGCCAUUUAAGUCAGCGGUUAAAUCGUGGGGCUCAACCCCAUUCUGCCGUUGAUACUGGGUGGCUUGAUUGCGGUCGAGGUUGGCGGAAUUCGUUGUGUAGCGGUGAAAUGCAUAGAUAUGACGAAGAACACCGAUUGCGUAGGCAGCUGACCAGACCGCAAAUGACGCUCAUGCACGAAAGUGCGGGGAUCGAACAGGAUUAGAUACCCUGGUAGUCCGCACAGUAAACGAUGAAUGCUUGAUUUCGGCGAUAUAAUGUCGGAGGCAAAGCGAAAGCGAUAAGUAUACCACCUGGGGAGUACGCCGGCAACGGUGAAACUCAAAUGAAUUGACGGGG
rnacentral:rRNA from 1 species